AUUCCUUUGAGAACAAGUGGUGUGUUCGGACGGUAUUUCACCUGCUCAAACAUGCAAGUUAUCGCAACCUUUUCUUCUUAAUUUCCAUGGUUAUCUGCAAAUGAAAUUCUAUUUACCUUCAAAUCUUGUAGGUCUAUUCUUCCUUCAUGUGGCCAUGAAGUUGGAGGCCUAUUAUCUGGUAUAAUGGCAGGAGGCUCUGAUUGCAGGUGCAUGUACUGCUUGAUUCUCUCAACUGAAAUGAUAUAGUUUUCUAGGUAGGAGUAGAACCUAGUAAGGAAAACCUGUGCUGAUGUCAGGGUCAACGCAUAGGACAGGCAAAGACCCGCAAAACCUGUAAAUUCAUUUCGAAAGUGUUCAUCAAAACUGCAGAUACAGUAAAAAGAAAGAUAUGUUCACUGUGAUGGCUAUGUAGAUACCUGGUGAAAUUACUCCUGGAGGAACCAAAAUAAGGAACAAUGAUGAUGUGAGUAUCGUCAAGCUUUGCAGUGCUUCCACUCUUAUAAGCACCCACUCUUGUGCAGCAACCGUGUGGAAGAACAAUGUCGCAUCGUUGUCUACAAGUUGUAGGUUGUUGCGGAUGAACCUGUCUGUUGCUGCAAAAGCCCUGAUUGUCACCACGCCAAGGAUUGAUUCUGCUGCGUAGUUCAUGACAGGUGCCUUUGUUGUUCCAUUAAUUCUGACUAGCUCUCUGGCUGAGGCCACGUAGUACCUCUUCAAAUUUUGGAAACAAAGCAUUAGCUUGGAAAGUUACAACCUACAUUUCGUUUAUUAUUUCCCUUCUAUUAAUUGCCUAUGGUUAACUGCUUGCAGCAAAGUAGACUUACCUGAACAUAUACCAUGGUGAUUGCAACUGGGAUUGCUACAACUAAGACUUGCCAAGUAACAGUACUCAUGACCAGUAUUGUUGUGACCACCUCGAUACCUCCAGUCGCCACAAAAGCCAUGGAGUAAGGUAUGUCAAAGUCCAAAAUGCUUAAAUCUGAAGAUGCCUGCAGAGAUAAACCUUUAGUCAGGAACUCGUCAAUACUAGUAUGGUCACUUUUCUUAUUUGAGAAAGUACCAUUAGCGUUUUAUGGUUAUCUUAUUUGGGCGCAAGACAGUAAAGAAACCAUACCCUUGCCAAUAUUCUUCCAACUGGCGUUGAAUCGAAGAAUGACAUAGGCGCCUUGAAUACAGAAUCCAUUAGACCAGUAAAGAAUGCUUUGGAGGCCUUGAGCCCCAGAGUAGCCGCAAAAAGGCUUCUGAGAUAGGCAAAGCAGCAGCUGAAGAUGGAUAGCCCUGAAUAUGCCCCAACCAGAAGAGCACUACUGACGUUGAUCUGAACAGCCACAGCCAACCAAUAUGUGGACAUGAUCUGAAAGCAUGUAAACAGUACCUGAGCUGUACACAUCCCGCAGAGAGGUAAAAAGCCCUUAGAGACAUCUAUGUAAUCUUUAUAUGGCUUCCAUCCAAGGUCACCAAUCCCCUUUUCCUCUUCCUCCGUGAGCUGGAUCAUGGAAGGACCCUUCGUUUGGACUUCAAUAUCACUACUUUGCCGUGUUGCCAGCAAUGCACUUGGACUUAUACUGUCAUCGAGAACCUGUUGCCCUUGCACUUGGUUUUGUUGGCUAGUAGUAUCCAAUGCUGUGACUGACGACUGGUGAGCAGAGACUAGCUUCUCAAAUGCUGUCCCAGAUUCCAGUAGUUCUGCAUAUUUCCCUUGUUGAUUAACCUGACCGCCUUCCAUUACCUGUUGAAAUAAUGAUAUAGCAUUUGAUAGAAGGACCAUUGGUUUAUAAAGUCAUGACCAAUCCUGUUCAGAAAAUCAACUUACAAGAAUCCUAUCAGUUUCGGUCAAAAAUUCAACUUGGUGUGUCACGAGAACAACAGUCUUCUUUGAAAGUGCUGUCUUUACACAAUCCUGAAAGAAGAUUGACAUCAGGACUUCAUGUAGCAGAAAACAAGUUUUCUGUAUUGAUAAAGAUUAAGAGAAGUAUCUUACAUAGAAAAGAACUGCAGCGGUGUGUGCAUCGACUGCGCUGAAAGGGUCGUCAAGGAGGUAGAUAUCUGCAUCAUUGUAGACAGCUCUAGCAAGCUGAAUCCUUUGCUUCUGACCCCCACUCAUGUUGAGUCCUCUCUGACCAAUCUCGGUCAGAUCUCCAUGAUCGAAAUUUUCUAUAUCCUUGUCCAAAGCACAAGAUUUGAUUGCCUUCUCGUACAGUUCCUUGUUGAAAGGCUUACCGAAGAGUAUAUUAUCACGGACAGUCCCGCUCUGUAUCCAAGAGUUCUGUGAAACAUAUGCCAGUGAGCCAAAUACCUCGACCUGCAAAAUACAAUUUGAACAUGUUGUCAGAUACGAACAUGAUUAAGCUUCUAUUUGUAAGCAUAUAUUUUCAGUCACUUACUGAUCCUGAUGUUCUAGGUAUCUCCCUAAGUAAUGCAUAAAGGAGUGAAGAUUUUCCUGAGCCAACUGCACCGCAAACUGCAACCUUCUCUCCUUGACGUAUUCUAAGGUUUACAUUCCUUAGAGCCAGAUCAGCUCCACUUGCAUUCCAGCUGAAAUUUCCAUCUUGGACAUGAACUCUGAUAUCGGAGUUAUCUGAAGGCACCCUCUCCACACCUUCUUUGAUCUCAUCUUCUAUGAGAAAUUUCUCGAUACGGUCUAACGACACCUUGUAUUGGAUCAUCAUUGUCAGGAUCUCAGGAAGAAACCUCACUGGCUCAGCCAUGACCCUCAGGGUGGCUAAAACCGUGAAAAGAGUACUAGCAUUCAGGGGUGCACUCCCCAAGAUUGCCGUUGCGGUAUACAUCACUGCAGAGACGACCGUCGGGGACAUCCAGUACAUGACGGCGCCGUAGGCCUUCUUCAUCUGUGUCUCCCUCAACCAUUUGAAUUCGGCGUCUCUGAGCGACUCGAUCAUGCUCCGGAACUUCUCCUCCCAGGACUGCAGCUUGAUGAUCUUCAUGCUGUUGAGUAUCUCGGACGUAGAUCGGAGCCUCUCAUCCUGUGCAACCAUGAACUUCGCCUGGUACCCUUGCAAGAGCUUCGCAAACGGCACGUUGAGGAAGCCAAAGAUGAUCAGCGGGACUAGACCUGGGACGGCCCCAAGCCGGAGUGCCCAGAUGAGCGUGCCUACUGCCAAUGCCAACUGAAGUGGUGAGCUCCACGCCAUGUGCAACCAGCUGAGAGCAUCCCCGAGCCGGUACGCGUCCACUGCAAUGUAGUUGACGAUCUCUCCAGUCGAGUGGUUCUUCCUCCCCUGACUGGACAGCUUGAGCUGCUUCUCAAAUAUGACCGCCAUUAGUGCAGACCGGAUGCGCAUCCCGGUCCUCCGCGAAUCAAAGAACCAAUGCCGCUGGGACAACGACUCGACAAGCUUGAUAAGAAGCAGGCAACCAACCAGCGACAAGCCAACGCGGAGAUCCCUCUCUUCUUGGUAGCUGUACCGUACGAACGCAAAGAGCAAUGCAGGGGACACAGCUAUGGCGAGUGUUCUCAUCAAUGCAUAGAAGCCGGCAAUCACGAUCUCCCUGAGGAAGCACUUGAACAAGACAAGGGGGAGGCCGUUGGUGCUGCCACUCCGCGCCUUGUCCUGCCGGUGUCGGUUCCAUGCCUCGGAGAACUUCUUUGAGGCUUGCAGCGCGCUGUCCUCAGAGCCGAUGAGCGGGACAUCGGCGAGGUCCAGCGCUUUUGAGCGGCCCAGGCGGAGCAGAGGGUUCAGCCAUGAGAAGGUCAGCUGGCUGAACAGGCCGGCCCGGUACAGCUCUGAGUCGUGCACUGCCUUGUCGAUCAAAGGCUCCGACAAGCCGUUGUCAUCUAGACUGUCCUUGCGGCCAUCGCUGCGCUGGAGCAGCGAGCUGAGAGCGCAGAGCAGGAGCAGGAAGUUCACCGGCCACGCAACCACCUCGGCGACGUCCAGCCGGUAGCCGCUGAUAAGGACCUCCGCAUUGUAAGCGGUGAUCAGCAGGGAGAAGAGCGUCCACCAGAGAAGGGCAACGGUGCUCGCCGGCCUCGUCGGCUGGACUUGCAAGGAAGCUGCUACAGAAACCCAGACCACCCCCCUGACGAUGGAAGCCGCCGCAUCAGUGGCGUCCCUGAAGCCGAUGACGGCGUACGUCGCCGCGACCGCCACGCAGCACACGGAGACCGCGGCCACCUCCCACCGCCGCCGCCGCCUUCCCCGUCCAUCCCACUGCCCCCUGACGCAGGUCACGAGCAGCGCGAUGGCAUAGGCGACAAGAAGCACGACAUUGACACAAUCGAUCAGGCUCCUCUGCACGCAGGGCGACGCGAAGGUGAUACCGCCGCCCUCCUGCUCGCAAAUCCAAGAAGACCAGGAGGAGGACCCAUCUGCCAUACAAUGAUCCAAUCGAAGCAAAGCAACGGGAUGAGAAGCUAUGAUGAUUCUGAUCGCUAAAGCACCAAAGAAACAGCAAGGGUUUACAAGAAGAACAGGAAGCUAGUUCGUCUCCUCUUCCUCGUUUCCUUACCUACAAGGGCCGUGGCCGGGUAACCCAGAUUGUCACCGGCCAUUCCUGCCUCUCGCAUGCAGUGACCAACCAAACCAACGCGUCAACUAUUCUUGGCAGGACGGGUCGGAGCCACUGGUUUAUACUCCUACUACUGGUGGUGGUGCCCGGUAGAUGCCCUGAAAAACUCGGAUUUCUCCUCCGUCGCUUUCACCCGCGGCGUAGAGCGGAACUCAUGUGGAAGACGAAGGAGAAAUUGCUCGAUACGUACGGCUUGUCCCUGCCGUUCCUUUUUUUCCUUGUACUCAUCCAGGCGCUCUCGCUGGCGUAUGGCGUGACGUGGCGAGCCACGGCACGGUAGACAGCUAGAGCAGCACGAGGUUUAAAAAAGGCAUGGCUGGCAGUGAAGAGAGCAGGCAUUGAUUUUGUUUUAAGAGUUGCUUAAUUUACGCAUCGUUGGCUCUUUUUUUUAUGACGUGGCCUGGGUAAGCACGAGACAAGGCUGCUAAUCUCUAUACUACUGUUUGUUAGUUUGUUACUACAUGUUCCUUACACGCGCAGGAAGAAACAAGUGAAAAAGCAGAUCAGGGAGCAAAACUUGUCUGCAUAGAAUUGAAGGGGCUGGGUGCAUUCAUUUGGUCACAAACAAGCCCGUUCAAUCAUAGAGUACUGACCUAUAGGCCUCAUAGGCCCUCACCAUAGUGACCCGAUGGCUUUGAAAAUUGACGCAACUGAGCUCAGGUGUAGUUGUACUCAUCUUUUACAGCUUCUCUUUCUUUUACGAGCCAGUAAUUAAGUUUCUUCAGACAAGAUCUCUGUCAUCAUUAAUAAACUAUAUACUAUACGAUACAAGCGUCAAAUCGAAGGAAGCUUGUCGUGAAAGCCACCAUGCUGUUUCGAUCUGCCCACUGAACUCGAUCGAAAACCGGCCUGAAUUGACGUGAAAUAAUAUCAUAAGUACACGUGAAUACGUGAUCGAUAGGCCUAGCUUAGCAACCGACAGCGUUGUUGCCAUAGAUGGGAUUAGCCUCUAUUUUAAAUUCUGCCAAACUGAUUACCUAAUGCCUAUAUACAUAACCCGAAGAUGGAAUGUCCAUUUGGAUCUGAAAACAUAGAACAGACACCUCGUGGUCCUACCUCUUCCAAAACAUCUUAUAAGUACAUAGAAACAGAGGAAGUAGUUAAUUAACCUCGACUAGCAACAGUUGGCCUUUGACAAGUGGCUGUAGUUUUAUCCUCCAUUACUUUCUUUUAGUUAGGAUUAUUUUAGACCGUGUGCUUCGUUGCCUUGUUUGACCGUAGGCGCACAGUAUUUUUUCAGUACUGUGGUACGUAUGAGGGUGAUACCCAACCAGAACAAUUUAUUGGCUAGGGCCAUAGGUCUCGGUCAAUACUCCGGGGUAUCCCUACAGGAUAACGUGUGCUGGUGGCCAUGUUUUGAUGUUUAUUCAGUGAUAUUAAAAUUUUAAUGAUCAUGUGAUACAUAACGUAUGCUCCAUUUGGAUCUGAAAACAUAGACGAGCCACCUCCUGUUCCCAUGCCCUAAGAACCACUCCAUCCGUCAAAUAUCAAGUGUCGCAGCUUUUUUUUCAGAUACGCGUGUACCUACACGUGUAUUAAGUGUCAUAAUUACAAAAUAUUCUCUGCAGAUUUUAUUUUUUGUCUAAUACGCAUGUACCUACAUAUAUUAAAUUUGCGACGUAUUAUAUGGCACAGAACAAAUAGUACUACGACAGGUUAAAAAAAUAAGUGUCAAUCAUUUAGUAAAAAAUAGGUUACAAUAAUUUUAUAAUUUUAUACAGUAAUAACUUCCCGACACUUAUGAUCCGAGUGAGUAGAUGAGAACCGGUCUUCGGUGUCUCCAGAACACGACAAGUGAGCGCUGCUGGAGGAGGGGGUUUGUGUCGACGAGCUGCCGGUGGGAAACAGUUCCCCGGCCGUACUCCCUGGGAGAACGUAAAUUCUCUGGUGAGUUCCUCACUAAUUAUGUCUCGUCUUGGGUGAUCACGAGGCCAAUUAUGGAUCUCCAACCUCCAUACGACAGCCUUUCGCGUGACGGCCAGCCAUUCGCUUGACCUUGGGCUUGCUCGGAGCUCUUCAAAUCUUCUCCGAGAAAAAGAGGAGCGAUUAUCCCUUGGCACUUGGCACUGGAGAAGAGGAAGGGGUCGAUGUCCUUUCGGGUGAUUAAUCGCAGGAGCCACAUACUACUACGGGCCAAAAGGUUUUCACAACGUUUUUCACUGUAACUUUUGUUGUUUGAGGCAACCAUUGAAGCUUGUACAAAUGCCAAUUUUGAUCAGUGAAAAGUUGAAACCAUGUAGUACGUCCAGAGGCCAAUUCUCAACUAAUGAAAUUGCCUACUGAAAUGCGUGGCAGGUGUUGGGAAACAAUUCCAAAUGCACUGUCGCUGUUGUCAGUAUUCCUAAACAGCUAAACUAAUGCAACCAUUCUCGUCUUGGCUUUGUUUAUGGAAGUUGUAGUAUGUGGUGACAAACAGAGAGAUCUCAUGUGGUAGGGAACCUUCGUGAUGGAUCUUUUAUUUAUUCUUGGAUGCAGAGAUCAUGUGGAGCCUGUAAAUCACGGCAGCAUUUGUCUGCUACCUGUUUCUUCUUCUAUGGUCUUUUGUUUUGUUCCGGCUACACGUAGCGUACGUAGGUAGCAGGUGUUGACAAUUUUUGCGAUCCAAGUUUGUUGGCUUUGUGUUGCUUUCAUAACAUGAAUUCUAGAAUAUCGUGACAGCUGGUAAAACCUUUUCAAACAAGACGGCAAGAUUAGGAACACUGCGGAUGCUUAUAUAUAUGUACUGCAUUCCCCAAAGAAAAUUGCACUGUAGAUAUCUAAAUACUUCCGUUCCUGUACAAUGGUUGAGCAAGCUACUCCUAACGAAACUGUCAAAGAAGUGAUUUUCUCCAGUGUCAAAAUGAAAAACAAGAAGUUUUUACUCGUUGAUCUUCUGUUGCCCAGUUUAUGCACAUGUUAUGCAGGACAAAUUGGAGCAGUGUACAUGUGGUACCAGGAACAAUCAAUGUUGCACAUGAAGGGAAGCCA
rnacentral:lncRNA from 1 species